CAAAAUAUAAUAUAUAACAAGUCAAAAAAGGGAACAACAUCGCCAUAUAAUAACUAUAAAAUGAACAAAUAUUAGAUAUUUCGGAUAACAGAUAUCCUUCUUCAAUAUUAGCACGAUGUCAAAUGAAUCAUGUCAAUAUAUUCAAACUGAGACACUAUCAAAAUCUUCAAAUUUAUACAAUUUAAGCGAACAUCACAGACGCUGGUACAAUUUUAAAAGUUCCAAACACGGCGCAUUGACUACAAAGAUAUGCCAAAAU
rnacentral:lncRNA from 1 species